CAAGUUAAAGUUAUUUUAAUAUAUUUUUUACAUGAAUAGGGAACUGUACAUCAGUUGACUUGA
rnacentral:tRNA from 1 species